UGGCCAUAUAGGUUAAUCGGAUUUCUUCUUAACGAGUAAUACGAGUGUGGAACGUUGACGCAGGUUAUGGGAACCACCCUCGCUCGGGGGUGGUAGCUUUACGAUGCUGAGGACAGCGGCGUUGACGCUAAUCCGGCUCGGCGUUCCAAUUUUUGAGGUAGCCAGUUGAGAGCUAUUUCAAGGAGCUUCUCCUCGGACAAUUCCAGCGGGCGAGGAGAGACGUCCCUGCAAAAUGCAGGAGCGAUAGCGCUGCCAAAACAUUGAUGCAACUGGAAAUGCUUGCCGCUAUUCUGCCACAAGGAGAUCUAUUUAUUCGAUCAGAUGCGGUACAUACGGAAUACCAAUUCCGUUAAUUGCGUUCGUGGACUGCGUCGCACUAUGUACCUGGUACAUACCUGGGUAUACUACAUAUUUCACUCGCGCAGACGAUGACGAAUGACAAAUACGACACGUUUCGGUUGAAGGAGGGCGAGAUCGACGUGAGAUUAAAUGUCUUCAAGGGUUACUUCGUGCAGCCGAAACGGUCAAUCGGGGAAGUAAAAGUAGCACUCGCGAAAAGAGGCGCGAGGAGAACAAGCUUUUGAUCGCGAAAUAAACGAUUGGCGAAUUAAGGAACUGGCCAUUGUACUUUUCGAAAUAAUCGCCAUGCGACGAAGUACACGCGCUGCAAUAAUAAUUUAUCGUGUUAAGCUUCUUACUUAGACCACGGGAGGGUUAAACUGAUGAUGUGGCAUGACGACUGCCUGACAUGAAUAAUGGAAUGCGUGUAGUAGCGUAAAAAUGGAAAUAAAAAUACACAUUAUAAAAAACAAGUUAAAAGUGGAUAUCAUGUAAUCUCUUUCAGAGAAAGUACGAGAAUACGAGAAAUUAAAUACUCGAAAAGAA